CCCAGAUGGAGCCCUCACCUCCUCCCAUACCCCAACCCCCAAUUUCAUGAGCAGUCAUGGCCUGCUGUACAAUUUCCAUACCCAGAUGUGGCCCUCGGGUCAAAAAGUUUGCCCACCCAUCCUAGGUGUUUUCCUUAACAGAUGGUGACCCAGACCAGUUCCAAACAGAAAAGCUGAAGGGGGAGAGGCCACCCAACUAUGCUAGAGCACUGAAGUGCCCUCCAGAACUGCAUAGGAAACGUGCAUUACGAGUACUCACGGGAAGUUCAGCGUUACACACACCGACCAGCUGUGGAUCUCUAACAACAACUCCCAGACACACACAAAAAGACUAAUUUUUAUUAAGCUGCAGCCAAGUGUGAAAAAGUUUCAGUAACUUUAGAUGAAAAUAAACCUUAAGAAAACUGUAGUUAUAGACACCCCAAAAGUUAGAAACAGAGGACUAAACUUCUAACAACAUUUUAAAGUUUGGAAAUUCAGUUAACCAUCUAACUCUUACUUCUAAGGCUCGCAUCUAGCUCUGCUACUAUACAGGCAAUAAGUUUAGCAAACAAAAUGUAAAUUGUAUAGACUAUGCCCAUAUCGGUUUUGCCUACAUACAGGAGGGUAGAUGGUACAGGGACUGACAUUCUGUCACUUGAGGCUUGUCUUGACCAGGAAGAGCGGUGCUUCCCGUAUACCAUAGUAGGAAAAAGGUCAAUUUUGGGCUGGGUUUAGGUAGAGUAUGUGAGCUAAGCCCAACCUAAACUCAACCAGUUUUCCUAAUCAAGACAAGUCUCAAGUGCAACCUCAUUCCCAGAACUUCAUUUCCUGUUUUGCAGAUACCUUGAUACAUCAGUGGCCGUCAUUUUCUUCCGAAAAGUGCAAGCAGCUUUUUUCCUUCCGGAACUCCUUGAAACCUCCUGCAGGUAGACUUUGAGGUGGUCCUUGACCUUCAGGAGCCAUUUCUGUUGGUCUCCCAGCUCUGUGUAAGACUUUGCCUUGUGAGUGAAGAAUCUAAUGCAGGUCAUGGCAGCACGGACAUGAUCCUCGAACAAACAAGUAAUGAACUUUUAAAAGGGGGAUCAUUUGACAACAAGGCUAUGACCUAUGAUGUUGAGAAACACUAUAAGAAUCUCAGAAGCGGAGAAGACUGAGAGCAUCCAUAGGCAGAACAUCUUCAGAGCUACUUUGACUGUUGGUACUAAAAUGCUCACACAAAGCAAAACAUUAUGGUUCCCUAAGAGGACAUACAAUUAAAGCAACAGAUAAGAUGGUGCAACAAGACCAGAUUCAUGACAAUAAGCACAGCAGAUAUGAAUAGACAGUAUUGCCUGGGGUCCUCCUAAGAUCAGAAAAGUUCCUACCAGCUUAUAUUCAAUAAAAAUUAAGCAAGCAAAAGACAUACUAUGUAUCCGCAAAGCACAAGGACUUCAGUUAGAAAAUGUGAAACAGGAAACAACUGCAGACAUGGACUCUGCAGUUACUCUCUCACUUAAAAAGAAAAGGAGUACUUGUGGCACCUUAGAGACUAACAAAUUUAUUUGAGCAUAAGCUUUCGUGAGCUACAGCUCACUUCAUCGGAGCAUCCCAGGGAAUUCACAGAAAACAUAACGUGACCAAGGCACAGAGUUUAACACCCAAGUAAAAUUGCUGAAUAGAGUGAUACUAUUCACUAUUUCAGCAAUAAAGGGGGGGCCACACACCCCACCCUUACCUUCAUAAACUGCUGCAGUUCAUACAGAAUGUGGUAGUAGUUCUUUUUCUGCAAGUGUUUGCAGGCUGCAAUCAGGUAGAUGCCCCAGCUCUCCAGACUUGGAUCAAUGGUUUCCAGCAAGUUCUCCAACAUGUGCAGUUUCCCACUUUUAUAACUUGGGACAAAGAUCCCUUCAAUGAACACUUCCGGCGGGCUCUCCUACAGUGGGAAAAAGGGAGCUUGAGGUGAAUCAGCUGCAGGAAUUGGCUUUUCUCUUGCCACUGAAGGGAAUACCAGUGACAGAGAGGUUAACCCUACAUUCUGAGCACAGGCAGGCACCCAGCAAAUUGCCGGCUUUGAACUGUUUUUUAAAGGGGUGCUACCAUGUUGUUUAAUCACUGCAUUCAGGGUAGUGACUGGGUUUGCUAUUUUUUUUAAAAACCACUGCACAGCACAAGUUACAGAACCCAGUAUGCACAGAAAUGUUUUAACAAAAAAUACAUUUGGUGGAAACAGG